rnacentral:lncRNA from 1 species
GAAAAACAGCACCAAGCAGGAGAUCCUGGCUGCUCUUGAGAAAGGCUGCAGCUUCCUGCCAGACCCUUACCAGAAGCAGUGUGAUCAGUUUGUGGCAGAGUACGAGCCCGUGCUGAUCGAGAUCCUGGUGGAGGUGAUGGAUCCUUCCUUCGUGUGCUUGAAAAUUGGAGCCUGCCCCUCGGCCCAUAAGCCCUUGUUGGGAACUGAGAAGUGUAUAUGGGGCCCAAGCUACUGGUGCCAGAACACAGAGACAGCAGCCCAGCUGUCGAGCAUUGCAAACGCCAUGUGUGGAACUAGGAGGAGGAAUAUUCCAUCUUGGCAGAAACCACAGCAUUGGUUUUUUUCUACUUGUGUGUCUGGGGGAAUGAACGCACAGAUCUGUUUGACUUUGUUAUAAAAAUAGGGCUCCCCCACCUCCCCCAUUUCUGUGUCCUUUAUUGUAGCAUUGCUGUCUGCAAGGGAGCCCCUAGCCCCUGGCAGACAUAGCUGCUUCAGUGCCCCUUUUCUCUCUGCUAGAUGGAUGUUGAUGCACUGGAGGUCUUUUAGCCUGCCCUUGCAUGGCGCCUGCUGGAGGAGGAGAGAGCUCUGCUGGCAUGAGCCACAGUUUCUUGACUGGAGGCCAUCAACCCUCUUGGUUGAGGCCUUGUUCUGAGCCCUGACAUGUGCUUGGGCACUGGUGGGCCUGGGCUUCUGAGGUGGCCUCCUGCCCUGAUCAGGGACCCUCCCCGCUUUCCUGGGCCUCUCAGUUGAACAAAGCAGCAAAACAAAGGCAGUUUUAUAUGAAAGAUUAGAAGCCUGGAAUAAUCAGGCUUUUUAAAUGAUGUAAUUCCCACUGUAAUAGCAUAGGGAUUUUGGAAGCAGCUGCUGGUGGCUUGGGACAUCAGUGGGGCCAAGGGUUCUCUGUCCCUGGUUCAACUGUGAUUUGGCUUUCCCGUGUCUUUCCUGGUGAUGCCUUGUUUGGGGUUCUGUGGGUUUGGGUGGGAAGAGGGCCAUCUGCCUGAAUGUAACCUGCUAGCUCUCCGAAGGCCCUGCGGGCCUGGCUUGUGUGAGCGUGUGGACAGUGGUGGCCGCGCUGUGCCUGCUCGUGUUGCCUACAUGUCCCUGGCUGUUGAGGCGCUGCUUCAGCCUGCACCCCUCCCUUGUCUCAUAGAUGCUCCUUUUGACCUUUUCAAAUAAAUAUGGAUGGCGAGCUCCUAGGCCUCUGGCUUCCUGGUAGAGGGCGGCAUGCCGAAGGGUCUGCUGGGUGUGGAUUGGAUGCUGGGGUGUGGGGGUUGGAAGCUGUCUGUGGCCCACUUGGGCACCCACGCUUCUGUCCACUUCUGGUUGCCAGGAGACAGCAAGCAAAGCCAGCAGGACAUGAAGUUGCUAUUAAAUGGACUUCGUGAUUUUUGUUUUGCACUAAAGUUUCUGUGAUUUAACAAUAAAAUUCUGUUAGCCAG